rnacentral:tRNA from 1 species
UGGGUUGUGGCUCAGUGGUACAGCGCUCACCUAGCACAUGAGAGGCACUGUGUUCAAUCCUCAGCACCCUAU